rnacentral:rRNA from 1 species
UACUCAGCAGUAAUUAACAUUAAGCAAUAAGUGAAAACUUGACUUAGUUAUAGCGACCCUUACAGGGCCGGUAAAUCUUGUGCCAGCCACCGCGGUCAUACAAGAGGCCCAAACUAAUAGUAACCGGCGUAAAGCGUGGCAAUAUGUUAUCCAACUAACUAAGACCAAAAUACAACUAAGCUGUCAUAAGCCCAAGAUGCCCCUAGAACCUCCAUAAAUAUGAUCUUAGCAUCCACGACCUAUUUCAACCCACGAAAGCUAAGGCACAAACUGGGAUUAGAUACCCCACUAUGCUUAGCCCUAAAUUCAGAUACUUACUCUACACAAGUAUCCGCCCGAGAACUACGAGCACAAACGCUUAAAA